rnacentral:rRNA from 1 species
GAUCAUGGCUCAGGAUGAACGCUGGCGGUGUGCUUAACACAUGCAAGUCGAACGGAACUCCUAUGAACGAGGUUUCGGCCAAGUGAAUAGGAUGUUUAGUGGCGGACGGGUGAGUAACGCGUGAGUAACCUGCCUUGGAGUGGGGAAUAACACAGUGAAAAUUGUGCUAAUACCGCAUGACGUAUCGGGAUGGCAUCUUCCUGAUACCAAAGAUUUUAUCGCUUAGAGAUGGG